GGCGGACGGGUGAGUAACACGUGGGUGACCUGCCUUCGAGUGGGGGGAUAACGUCCCGAAAGGGACGCUAAUACCGCAUAACUAUCCUGCCUUUGAAGAGGUGGAGAUCAAAGCUGGGGAUCGCAAGACCUGGCGCUUGAAGAGGGGCCCUGCGUCCGAUUAGCUAGUUGAGUGGGGUAACGGCUCACCAAUGGCGACGAUCGGUAGCCGGCCUAAGAGGGCGGACGGCACACUGGGACUGAGACACGGCCCAGACUCCUACGGGAGGCAGCAUGGUGGGGAAUUGUCCGCAAUGGGCGCAAGCCUGACGACGCAACGCCGACGUAGGAGGAUGAAGACCUUCGGGUCGUAAAGCUCCUUUCGAUCGAUGACGAACAGCCUCCGGAUGAAUAAUCUGGAGGUCUGACGGUACCGAGAGAAGAAGCCCCGGUCUAACUCCGUGCCAGCCGCC
rnacentral:rRNA from 1 species